rnacentral:rRNA from 1 species
CGGUAAUUCCAGCUCCAAUAGCGUAUACUAAAGUUGUUGCAGUUAAAAAGCUCGUAGUUAGAUUUCUGCGGGGACGGAGCGGCCGGACGCAACUUGCGUCUCGAGCUAGCGCUUUCCCCACAUCCUGCCGCGAACCGUGCUACCAUUAGCUUGGUGGCGCUGGGGAUCGGCUCGAUUACUUUGAGAAAAAUAGAGUGUUCAAAGCAGGCCACACGCCUUGAAUAAGUUAGCAUGGAAUAAUGAUUAAGGACUUCGGUUCUAUUUUGUUGGUGUUCGGGACUGAAGUAAUGAUUGAUAGGGACAGUUGGGGCGGUCUGUAUUCCAAAGCGAGAGGUGAAAUUCUUAGACCUUCGGAAGACAAACAGCUGCGAAAGCGUUCCGCAAGGAUGUUCCCUUUGAUCAAGAACGAAAGUUGGGGGAUCGAAGACGAUCAGAUACCGUCGUAGUCUCAACUAUAAACUAUACCAGCUAGGGAUCGGCCAACGUUUAACUUUAUCGACUUGGUCGGCACCUUAUGAGAAAUCAAAGCAUCUGGGUUCCGGGGGGAGUAUGGUCGCAAGGCUGAAACUUAAAGGAAUUGACGGAAGGGCACCACCAGGCGUGGAGCCUGUGGCUUAAUUUGACUCAACACGGGAAAACUUACCAGGUCCAGACAUAGGAAGGAUUGACAGAUUGAUAGCUCUUUCCUGAUUCUGUGGGUGGUGGUGCAUGGCCGUUUUUAGUCGGUGAAGUGAUUUGUCUGCUUAAUUGCGUUAACGGACGAGACCCCAGCCUGCUAAAUAGCGCGGCCGAGCUUUGCUCGGUGCGAGCUUCUUAGAGGGACCAUGAUGCGCGAUAGCACAAGGAAGUUUGGGGCAACAACAGGUCUGUGAUGCCCUUAGAUGUUCUGGGCCGCACACGGGCUACACUGGCGCCUGCAACGAGCAUAUCAGCUGGCCCGAGAGGGUCUUGGCUAAUCUUUGGAACCGGCGCCGUGCUUGGGAUUGACCAUUGCAAUUGUUGGUCAUGCAACGAGGAAUGCCUUGUAAACGCGAGUCAUCAGCUCGCAUUGAAUACGUCCCUGCCCUUUGUACACACCGCCCGUCGCUCCUACCGAUGAAUGUUCCGAUGAAAUUUUCGGAGAGCGCCAGAGAACGGGGCUCUGCCUUGCAGAUCUGGAGGCUCAAAGUCACUUAAAUCUGAACAUUUCGAGGAAGGAGAAGUCGUAACAAGGUAGCCG